AUUGAACGCUGGCGGCAUGCCUUACACAUGCAAGUCGAACGGCAGCACGGGAGCAAUCCUGGUGGCGAGUGGCGAACGGGUGAGUAAUAUAUCGGAACGUGCCCAGUCGUGGGGAUAACGUAGCGAAAGCUACGCUAAUACGCAUACGAUCUAUGGAUGAAAGCGGGGGAUCGCAAGACCUCGCGCGAUUGGAGCGGCCGAUAUCAGAUUAGGUAGUUGGUGAGGUAAAGGCUCACCAAGCCGACGAUCUGUAGCUGGUCUGAGAGGACGACCAGCCACACUGGGACUGAGACACGGCCCAGACUCCUACGGGAGGCAGCAGUGGGGAAUUUUUGGACAAUGGGCGCAAGCCUGAUCCAGCAAUGCCGCGUGCAGGAUGAAGGCCU
rnacentral:rRNA from 1 species